rnacentral:rRNA from 1 species
GACGAACGCUGGCGGCGUGCUUAACACAUGCAAGUCGAACGGAAAGGCCCUGCUUUUGUGGGGUGCUCGAGUGGCGAACGGGUGAGUAACACGUGAGUAACCUGCCCUUGACUUUGGGAUAACUUCAGGAAACUGGGGCUAAUACCGGAUAGGAGCUCCUGCUGCAUGGUGGGGGUUGGAAAGUUUCGGCGGUUGGGGAUGGACUCGCGGCUUAUCAGCUUGUUGGUGGGGUAGUGGCUUACCAAGGCUUUGACGGGUAGCCGGCCUGAGAGGGUGACCGGCCACAUUGGGACUGAGAUACGGCACAGACUCCUACGGGAGGCAGCAGUGGGGAAUAUUGCACAAGGGGCGGAAGCCUGAUGCAGCAACGCCGCGUGCGGGAUGACGGCCUUCGGGUUGUAAACCGCUUUCGCCUGUGACGAAGCGUGAGUGACGGUAAUGGGUAAAGAAGCACCGGCUAACUACGUG